rnacentral:rRNA from 1 species
CCCUUAGAUGUUCUGGGCCGCGCGCGUGCUACACUGAGUGGAUCAGCGGGUCAGGUUGCGCGAAAGCGUUUCCUAAUCUUUAAAUCCGCUCGUGAUGGGGAUUGACGGUUGCAAUUUUCUGUCAUGAACGAGGAAUACCUUGUAAGCGCGGGUCAUCAUCCCGCGCUGAAUACGUCCCUGCCCUUUGUACACACCGCCCGUCGCUACUACCGAUUGAACGGUUUAGUGAGGGCCUCGGAUUGGUCUCGGCCCGCUCUUUACCGGGCGGCGCCGUUGGUCGAGAAGACGCUCGAACUUGAUCGUUUAGAGGAAGUAAAAGUCGUAACA